rnacentral:tRNA from 1 species
UGGGGUAUAGCUCAAUGGUAGAACACAUGCUUAGCAUGCACAGGGUCCUGGGUUCAAUCCCUAGUACCUCCA